rnacentral:rRNA from 1 species
ACCUGACUGCUAUCGGAUUGAUACUAAGCCAUGCGAGUCAUUGUAGCAAUACAAGGCAUACGGCUCAGUAACGCGUAGUCAACCUAACCUAUGGACGGGAAUAACCUCGGGAAACUGAGAAUAAUGCCCGAUAGAACACUAUACCUGGAAUGGUUUGUGUUCCAAAUGAUUUAUCGCCAUAGGAUGGGACUGCGGCCUAUCAGUUUGUUGGUGAGGUAAUGGCCCACCAAGACUAUUACAGGUACGGGCUCUGAGAGGAGUAGCCCGGAGAUGGGUACUGAGACACGGACCCAGGCCCUAUGGGGCGCAGCAGGCGAGAAAACUUUGCAAUGUGCGAAAGCACGACAAGGUUAAUCCGAGUGAUUUGUGCUAAACGAAUCUUUUGUUAGUCCUAGAAACACUAACGAAUAAGGGGUGGGCAAGUUCUGGUGUCAGCCGCCGCGGUAAAACCAGCACCUCAAGUGGUCAGGAUGAUUAUUGGGCCUAAAGCAUCCGUAGCCGGCUCUGUAAGUUUUCGGUUAAAUCUGUACGCUUAACGUACAGGCUGCCGGGAAUACUGCAGAGCUAGGGAGUGGGAGAGGUAGACGGUACUCGGUAGGAAGUGGUAAAAUGCUUUGAUCUAUCGAUGACCACCUGUGGCGAAGGCGGUCUACCAGAACACGUCCGACGGUGAGGGAUGAAAGCCGGGGGAGCAAACCGGAUUAGAUACCCGGGUAGUCCCAGCUGUAAACUAUGCAAACUCAGUGAUGCAUUGGCUUGUGGCCAAUGCAGUGCUGCAGGGAAGCCGUUAAGUUUGCCGCCUGGGAAGUACGUACGCAAGUAUGAAACUUAAAGGAAUUGGCGGGGGAGCACCACAAGGGGUGAAGCCUGCGGUUC